rnacentral:tRNA from 1 species
AUUAAAGUAGUUUAUAAAAAAUAAAGGUUUGUGGUUCCUUUGAAGCAAUUUAUUGUCUUUAAUA